GGGGAUGUGGCGGAAUUGGUAGACGCACUGGAUUUAGGUUCCAGCGCCGCAAGGUGUGAGAGUUCGAGUCUCUCCAUCCCCACCA
rnacentral:tRNA from 1 species